rnacentral:rRNA from 1 species
UACGAAGGGGGCUAGCGUUGUUCGGAAUUACUGGGCGUAAAGGGCGCGUAGGCGGCGUGUCAAGUCAGGCGUGAAAGCCCCGGGCUCAACCUGGGAACCGCGCUUGAGACUGGCAUGCUCGAGUUCGGGAGAGGAUGGUGGAAUUCCCAGUGUAGAGGUGAAAUUCGUAGAUAUCGGGAGGAACGCCUGAGGCGAAGGCGGGCUACUGGGCCGAUACUGACGCUGAUGCGCGAAAGCCAGGGGAGCGAACGGG